UACAGAGGGUGCAAACGUUGCUCGGAAUGAUUGGGCGUAAAGCGCGUGUAGGCGGCCGUUUAUGCCGGUUGUGAAAGCCCGUGGCUCAACCACGGAAGUGCAGUCGGAACUGAACGGCUAGAGUACCGAAGAGGGUGGCGGAAUGCCCAGUGUAGAGGUGAAAUUCGUAGAUAUUCGCAAGAACACCAGUGGCGAAGGCGGCUCACUGGCCCGGUACUGACGCUGAGGUGCGAAAGCGUGGGGAGCAAACAGG
rnacentral:rRNA from 1 species